rnacentral:lncRNA from 1 species
GUAACAGCAUGAACAGUCACUUUCCUACACUGUCCCGAGAAAGGCUUGUUGCUGCAGGUUUUUUAGAUAAGAGCUUUAUUGACAUAAUUGACAUAUUGUGAUGUUCCCCCAUUUACUCAGUCAAAUCCACCGCCACAUUCAAAUCCCAGCACACACUCCUUUGUCCCCGCGAAGAACACACGAGCCUUCACCUUUCUGCUCCCUUCCCAGCCUCCAUGCGUCCGCUUUAUGGAUCAGGCCUUUCGUGCAAAGGGAUCUGGCUUCUCACUCAGCACAGUGGCUUUGAGGUUUAUCUCUGGUACAGCGGCGGCGGGGUCUCUCUUUCUUUUUUUUCUGGGCCUCACCCGCGGCACACAGCAGUUCUCAGGCCAGGGAUCGAACCCACACCACCGCAGCGACCCCAGCUGCCGCCGUCGUAACAUGGGAUCCUUAACCCACAGCACGGCACAAGAACUCUCCAGAGUCACCUGCAGUGGUAGGAAUGCCACAGACGGGGGGUGCUGUGGGUACAGCACAGAGUCUGGCUCGUGGCCGAGGCGGUGGCCUUGAUUGUGUGGAUCAGCGGGAGCCGCCGGCUUCUGGAUCGGAGAGUUGGGUCCCCCCCCCCCCCCACUGUGUAAUUCCUAAAUCCGCGGGUGGAGAAACUUGGCACCAGGUGAAUCCUUGUUUCGCCCCACUUCGCUCUCUCAUCUCAGCACCCACGGUGCAGUAAUUGUUACUGUGACGUUUAAUGGUGAGUUCUUAAAUUUUGCUCAUUCUCUCCAUGUUAAUUGGAGUUCUUUUUUUUAAAGUUGUUUAAUAUGGUCGAUUUACAGUGGUCUGCCCCUUUCUGCUGUACAGCCGAGUGACCCAGUCAUACAUCUGUACCCACUCUCUCAUCCCCCCUUUGUGCGUGAUCCAUCACGGGCGAUUGCACAUAGUCCCCUGUGCUCUGCAGCAGGCCCCCUGUGUGUCCAUUCCUGAUGUAAAAGUUUGCACUUGUCAGCCCUGAACUCCCACUCCCUCCUCCUCCCCUUUGGCAACCCAAGUCUGUUCUCUGUAUAUGCGAGUGUUGCUGUUCUCUAAGUAGGUUCAUUUCUGCCAUGUUUUAGAUUCCACAAGGACCUGAUAUCAUAGGGUAUCUGUCUUUCUUACUAAGUAUGAGAAUCUAAAUGAAUCUUAAGUAUGAGACUCUCUAGUUCCAUCCAUGUUAAUGCAAAUGGCAUUAUUUUGUUCUUUUUUAUGGCUGAGUCGUAUUCCAUUGUGUAUACACACCACAUCUUUUUUUUUUUUUUUUUUUUUUUUGUCUUUUUUGUUGUUGUUGUUAUUGUUGCUAUUUCUUGGGCUGCUCCCGCGGCAUAUGGAGGUUCCCAGGCUAGGGGUUGAAUCGGAGCUGUAGCCACCGGCCUACGCCAGAGCCACAGCAACGCGGGAUCCGAGCCACGUCUGCAACCUAUACCACAGCUCACGGCAACCCCAGAUCCUUAACCCACUGAGCAAGGGCAGGGAUCGAACCCGCAACCUCAUGGUUCCUAGUCGGAUUCGUUAACCACUGCGCCACGACGGGAACUCCUACACACCACAUCUUAAUCCAUUCAUCUGUCAGUGGACGAUGAGGUUGUUUCCACGUCUUGGCUCUUGUGAAUGGUGCUGCAGUGAACAUGCAUGUGCAUGUGUCUUUUUUUUUUUUUUUUGCAUGUAUCUUGUUUUCAUUUCUCAGUGAAUUUUAUUACAUUUAUAGUUGUACAACAAUCAUCACAACCUAAUUUUAUAGCAUUUCCAUCCCAGACCCCCAGUGUGCCCCCCACCCCCAACCUGUCUCCUUUGGAAAGCAUCAGUCUUUCAGAGUCUGCAUCAGUGUCUGUUGUGCAAAGAAGUUCAGUGUGUCCUGUUUUAGAUCCCACAUGGAAGUGAAAGCAUUCGAUGUUGGUGACUGACCUCGCUUAGCACAAUAAUUUCUAGGUCCAUCCGUGUUGCUGCAAAUGCCGUUCUUUCUUUCCUUUCAACGGCUGAGUCGCAGUCCAUUGUGUGUAUGGACCACAUCUUAACCCACUGGUCUGGGUAGAUGUUCAGCUUGUUUCCAUGUUUGGCUGCAGUGAGCACAGGGGUACGUGUAUCUUUUCUGUUGAAUGAAAGGUUCUUCUGCAUAUGUGCCCAGGAGUGGGAUUGCUGGAUCGUAUGGUAGUUGUGUAGUUUUCUGCGGAAUCUCCAUGCUGUUUCAUAGUGGUUGGACCAUAGGAGGACACCCUUUCUCCACCCCGCCUCCAGCAUUUGGUAUUUAUAGACUUACUAAUGACGGCCAUUCUGACCAGUGUAAAGUGUUACCUCAUUGUAGUUUUGAUUUGUGUUUCUGUAAUAAUUAGUGAUGUUGAGCAUUUUUUCUUGGGCCUGUUGGCCAGCUAAUAUGUCUUCCUUGGAGAAAUGUCUUUUUAGGUCUUCUGCCCAUUUUUCAUUUGGGUUAUUUAUUCAUUUAUCUUUUGGUGUCAAGUUGUAUGAGUUAUUUGUAUAUUCUGGAGAUCAAGCCCUUCUCGGUUGCAUCAUUUGAAACUAUUUUCUCCUAUUCCGUAGAUUGUCUUUUCAUUUCAUUAACUGGAGUUCUUUUGUAAAAAAGAGCAGUUCUUUGUCCACCAUUUAUUCAGUUAUUUAUAUCAGUGUGGAUUUGUGGGUGUUUGAUUCUAUGAGUCAUAACCAGGUAACUGUUACUCUGUUGCUCAGACUGUUAAGGUUCCUCCUGUCUGUCCCCUUUUGACCUGCUGUGUCCUUUUUUAAGCAUUUCGGGACUCUGGCACCGCCAGAGGCUCCAGGCUCCUUUCACGGAGACUGGUAUGUAGCCACCAAGAUCUCGCCCGUGGGUGUGCUCAUUGCUCCAGGGCUGUUACUGCUUCGGGGCCCUUCCCAGACAGAGCUGGAAAGUACAUAUACUAAGUCAUGCACAUAAACCUGUGUUCACUUCUGUAAUGAGCUAGCUGUAUACAUUUAAAAAGCUGUGAGCUCAGCAGCUCAGCGGUUUAGCAAACCCAACUAGCAUCCCUGAGGAUGCAGGUUCAAUCCCUGUCCUGGCUCAGUGGGUUGAGGAUCCGGCGUUGCCAUGAGCUGUGGUGUAGGUCACAGCUGCGGCUCGGAUCAGGCGUUGCUGUGGCAUAACCUGGCAGCUGUAGUUCCUGUUUGACCCCUAGCCUGGGAACCUUCAUGUGCUGUGGGUGCGGCCCUAAAAAGCCAAACAAUAAUAACAAAAAUGGACAAAAAACUUGAAUAGAUGUUCUACCAUAAGAGACUCUUCAUCAGGGAAAUGAAAUCAGCAUUGAGGCAGCAUGUCACACCCACUCGGACAGCUUCGGUCAAAAAGACAAUGCCAAGUGUUGGCAAGGGUGUGCCCAGUUAGAACCUUCUCUGGAUUGCAAGAUGGUCCAUCCGCCUGCAAAGUGGGGAAUUCCACUCCUCUCGGGAGUGAACCCAGGACAAAGGAACAUGCCUUCAGGCCAGCAAAGUGCAGAUGUUCUGACAGCAAAAAGGAACCCAAAGUCCAUCAACCAGCAAGUGAAUACAGCAAAAUGGGCCAUUGUACUUACACAAAAACCAGGACGCUCUAGAUGGAACCCAGACCGUCAGGUGAGCUCGCAGAUGCAAGAUCCUCUAGGUGGUGUGAGUCCACGGACGCAAAACGAACGUCCAGGAAGGAGGAUGUACAGAUGCGGAAAGCGGGACGGGGUUGCCAGGGUCUGGGGUACGGCGGGGAGGCUGGAGUGGGCACCGACCACAGGCAUCUCAAGGGGACGUUAUUGGAGUGAUCAUUAGGCACGUCCACAGAUUGGCGAGGAAAUCGUUGAAUUGUACACUUUCAGUGGGUGGAUUGUGUAAAGGAUCCCUUAGUGACGCUGUAAGAGAACCGGUUGCCUUUCUGUGUCAUUAAAUACUUUUACU